GGAGUAUCCGACCUACACCGGAGACUCCAGGUACAACAUAGCUGACCUCCGAAAAACGGUGAUAACUUUUGAUUCCGGAGUCCGAUUUCGACGAUUUUGGACUCUAUGGAAAGCUUAUUCAGAGGGCUACACAUCCCAACUGAAUUCAUGACCUAAAACACAUAGGAUUAAAUUAGGAACACUCUAAAACCUAUUUUGGACACUUCCGCACUUCCCGCUCCGGACUCUUAACGACAAACUCUCACUUUGGGUUUGGUUGGGAACUCUUGAGCACUGAGACGUGACAAUUAGCUCACGUUGCAUCCCUCUUAAUAGUGCGGCAUACCUAUACUCAAAUUCAAAGAUAAAACUCGUUUGAACCACUUUGAGUAUUUGAAAACUUUCAAGUAUCGCUUCUUUUUCUUUCAAACCUUGAGGGUUGCCAACUUCCAUAUAUUCUUCACUCUAUCUCUUCUUGAUUCUUCAUAUGAUUGAUGUGAAUCAUCCAUAUCUUCCUAUAGCCUCGCACGGUCCAUCGGCGCAAAGCCUUCACUCGCUCUUCACCACCGCCUUGGUCCUUCGGCGCCAAGCCAUUUGCUUGCCCUUCACCACGGAUGGUCCAUCGCAGCUGAGUCUUGCUUGCCCUUCACCGUCUUGCCAUAGAAAACCACUUUGUAUUCGACAUCUUCAAGGAAUUCACUUUUUCAUAUAUGGAGUCCACUCUUGUUCUUCACUGUUGGCACAUAUAAUUUCAAUUCAACUUAUACCUUCUUAUGAAUCCUAACCCCAACUCACUCUUAAGCACAAAGCACAUGGGUUAGUCCAUGAAACCUAAAUGAUAACAUUUAUACCUUAAGUUACUUGAUCUACACAAGUAACUUAUUAGCCUUCAUGCAUAUUGUCAAUCUUCAUAUAGAACCUAACCCUACUCAUUCUUAAACACAUAGCACACGGGUUAGUCCAUAAAACUCUAUUGACAAGCAUACCUUUAGUUACUUGAUCUCCACAAGUAACUUAGCCUUCAAGCUUAUUGCUAAUCUUAUUGAGCUUCUUCUUCUUCUUAUGAGUAUCACUAAAAUCUCAAUGACUUUUGAUGCAAUUCUUUGAACUCAUGACAUUUCUCAAAGAAUCCAUGCUUCAUCAUUUAUGCAUCUCCUAUGGAAUAACCUAAUAGCAAUUCUCAAUAUGAUUGUUAGUCCAUAGGCAUUGUCAUCACUUACCCGAGCAUCACCUAGAGCUCAUGCAUCUUGAUGCAUUUUCAAUCUCCCCAUUUACUUAGAGCUCAUACAUAUUUCUCAUCCAUGCAUCACCUAUGGAAUAACCUACUAACAAACUCAACACCAUUGUUAGUCCAUAGGUAUUGUCAUUAAUUAUCAAAACUACACAUAGAGGCUAGAUGCACUUUCACUUAUGACCUAAGUCUCCAAAUCCCCAAUACCAACUCAAGGCUUUCAAAUCUUCUCUGGAACUAAAACUGAUUGGGGCCACUUCAUGUUGAUGAUAACUUUCUUGGACACCUAAAUAGGUUGGUUCCACCUCCGGUCCUUUCUCCCAACCAUAUGUGUAACCACUUUACCAUUUUUCUUUUUUUUAAGCUUUUAGUGGUUGUUUUGAUCUUGAUCUUGUAGUUGGGCUUGGUAUAGAGGUUGGAAGUUUUGUUGGAGAGGUUCAUCAGCUUUUUUCUCUUCUUGGUUUCUUUUUUGACUUGCUUGCAUCGGAAAGACUUAUGGCCUUCUUGAUGAUACUUGAAGCAUGUCACGAUUGACCCCUCUACAACCUUAUUCACCAUGGUUGUAUGAUUAUCUUGAGUAAGUUGGACAUGUUCUCUGCCCUUUAAUCUUGCUAAGUCUUUUGUGGACCUCUCCACUUCUUGCUUGAGCGUAUCAUUCUCUUGUUCAAUAAGGUCAUUAUAUGAUUCUACAAGAACAUUUUUAACACAUAUCUUAUUGCAAAGGGGUGAGCUAGAUGUAAUAAUUAAAUCAUUACAAGAAGUGAUAAUAUCUACCUUAGAAUUGAAAUUAAAAAUAGAAGUAGAUUGCUUUAAAGGGGCCUUAUAUUGCUAUUCAAUGCACUCAAAUUUUUUCUUAAGCUUUUUAUGCUCCUUGUUUAGCAAUUCAAUUUUACUCAACAAUUAUUUAUAAUUGGAAACAAAAGUAGCAUAAACGUCAAUAAGAGCAUUGAAUUUCUUAAGUUCUUUAGAUUAUUUCUUUAAGUCUCUUUGUUGCUCAUUUAUCAAAUUAAGAAGUUCUUCUUGAAAGUGUGAAUCCUUAUUGGACUCAUCAUCACUCACAUCAUUUUUCAUACCUUAGGCUAUAAGGCACUUAUGUGAUGACUUACGUGAUGAUGAUCUUGAAAAAGAGCUUCUCUUAGAGGAGUGGAUGGUGAAACUCUCAUCACUUGAGCUUAAAUCUUCAUCUCGACUUACUCAUCUUUCUAUGCUUGCAAAUACUUUGCCUCUUCCUCUUGUCUUCCUCUUGUUUUUGAUCUUCUUCUCUAUCUUGAUAUGAUCAAUUAUGUUGACCAAGUCUUUUAUAGAGAUUUGAUGGUCAAUCUUGGUAUUAAUCAUCUUGUUGUUCUUCUCUACUUGUGAGAUGAGCCUGGCGAUCUUGGGAUCAAUCUAUUCAUCACUUGAGGUGUUUUGCUCAUCUUCUUCCUAGCUCUCUUCAUCUUUAUCACCAUCAUUUUUGCUUGAGCUUGACUCUUACUCUUAUCUCCUCAUCUUUGCUUUCAUGUGUCAGUAUGAUACUUGCUUGCUUGUGAGAGCAAAGUUCUUGGCUUCGGAUGAGGAAGAAGCUUCCAUCAUCAUGUUCAUAGUUAUCUCAUGGGCAAUGAUCUUACUGAGCACUUAGCUUGGAGUUAUCUUGGCGAUAUCGUUGUUGUCAUAGAUGAUGUAUACUAUUAACUUGUACUUUAGAUGAAGAGUUUAACGUAUUCUUCUCACCACUUAAUUAUCUCCAAUUGACGUCAAACCAUCUCAUUACGCACAUCAUUUAUGCCUUCAUGUAUUUUAAUGAGGCUAGUUCAAAUAUCAUGUACAUCUGUGAGAGAAUAAACCUGAUUAAAUACAUCAACACAUAAAAAUAAUAAAAUAAUAUUCUUCGCUAAAGUAUCGCAUUCUCUCUUUGUUUUCGAAGCGUUGCCUCAUCCCUUCUUCGGUGACUCUCUAAACAUCUAACCCCUUGGUUUGAAGAAAACAUAUCAUUAGAAUUUUUCAUCAGGAAAAAUUAGUGCCAUCAAAAUAUAGUGUUAUGGGUAUCCAUCCCAACCACAGAUAUCACAACUCUAGGAGGUUAAACCUUAUCAAGAGCACAAGGCUUUGAUACCAAUUUUAGGGAUCGAUGAUGUCUUAAGAGGAGGUGAAUUAGGACAUUUGAAACUAAUCGGCUUCAAAAACUUCACAAAAUAAACCUAUAUUAAUUUUUUAUCUAAACAUAAUCUAGAUUUAUCUAGUAUGUCUACUCUACUAUUCAAAAGAGAUUGCAACCUAUCUAAAAAGGUAAAUUGCAAAUAUGUAAGUGCAGAAACGUAAACAAGGUAGAGAGAAAAAACUCGACACAAGGAAUUUUUAUUUCGUUGUAUCGAUGGCAUAAAUGCCACCUCUAGUCUAUGUUGGAGCAGUCACCUAAGCUAUAACUCUCGGACGACACCCCGUUAUGACCAUUGAGCCACCAAGGACAUACGCAGGUAGAGUUACCAAGCCACUAAUGCAAGGUCUCACCAUAAGGCUCUAUUCUGGUCACUUGUCGCCGUCUUCAUUUUACAUUUUAAAAAGCUUGAGCCACCAAGGCCCAAGGUGCCGGUGAGUCAAAAAGAUUCUAAGGAGCCGACGUACCACUUGGUACAAGUCAGGAUCACUCCUUGAUCCCCUCUCUAAGCAGCAACACCUAGACACAACUAUCUCUAGGUCUAUUAGCACUAAUCACUCUCUAAUCAUAUGCUUAAUUUCCUUGGAUGAUCACCUUAAGGUCUUUUGUGGCUUAGAUAUCUUUUCUAGUGUAUGUGAGCUUCUCUGGACUCUAGUACUUCAAAUGAUCGAGUGGAGGAGCGUUUAUAGCCUCAACCCUACAGACUAGUUGUUGCCCCAAUAUCUCAACUUUAUUGUAUACGCCGGAUGUUUCUGUGUAAACAACAUUAUACUUACCGGACUAUCUGGCGUGUACAUCCUUUAAAAAACUAGCUAUUGGAACCCCACUCAAAUCCUCUGUGAAUACCGGACAUUUCGGUGUGUUCUUCACUUCAUCGCCGGACCAUUCAGCAUGUUGUCUUAGUCUGAUUGAGCCACUAAAAUCUUCUCUGUAAGAAUUUCUCCGUGUGUUGAACUUCUGAGCGCUAGAUCAUCCGGUGCAUUGACCUUCAAUCUUCAAUACUUGGAACCUUCUCUGCAACUAGUACUCUAUCGCGUACCAUCCGGUGAGUACAUCUCAGUGCGUGGGACCUUCCAAUGUACACAAAUACUCUGGUGAAUGUUAGCAUCGAACCUUCCAGUGUGCAUAACUGUUUUCUCCCUCACUGUCAAAAAUACUCUAGCGUGUUGUUCUCCAAAGUGCUGGACCAUCUAGUGUGUUGAUUCUUCUUUGAGCCCUUUUGACAUAAAUACUCUGGCGUAUAUAACUCGGGUAUCAUCGGACCUUUCGAUGUAAUCAUUUUUCCUGAGACUUCUCCAAUUCAGUCAAACUUUAUCUCCGUUUCAGUAGUUUUUUCAUGUAUUACAUCCAUGAGACCUACUAAAGUAUAUACUUGACAAACAUGUUAGUCUCAUUGACUUAUAUUGUCAUUAGUCACCAAAAUCACAUACAUGCUCUAAGAGGGUCAUGCGCUACACGCGCCUAAGUUGCCUAUGGUAUUGGAUUGUUCCACUUUGUGUCGUUUCGUUCCAUUGUAGGUGCAUGGCUGGUCUACCAUGGAUCUUAGUCCACAAGAUCAUCGUUCGCUCUGUUUAGGAGGCACAGAGGACCCGAGACUAGGGUCGUUACACCCGUCGUGCUGUGCUAGCCCGGCAUGAUUAUAAAUGGAUUGUGCUGUGCUUGGGCCGUGCCCACAGAACCUGGUUGUGUGUCAGCCUAUUUGGCCAGCUCUAAUGGAUUCAGAAAAAUUGUUCCUACCGGGUGAUAAAGACUGAGGUAGAUGGAUGGCAUACAAUCCAGUUUGCAGGUGGCAAGAAUUCGCCAAGAAAGUUCCAGCUAACUCUUUUCUGGUCAAGUAAUGGUACCCAUGCAUCCAUCUGCAAAAGGAGCUAAAGAAGCAGCAGAUAUCCUUUCUUAUUAAAACUAAGAACAGAUGUGAAUAGAGUUACACCGAAGGUUGCAAAGGUUCCUCUCUUCCAAAAAAAAAAAAACUGCAAAGGUUCUUGAAAAGCUUCCACGAUGGUUCACACCAUUCGGCAAGUCCACUUCUUCUUACACACUAGCUUUCUUGACGAUCCUUCGUGUCAACAUUUAGGCGGUAAAAUUCGUUCCUCCGACUUGGGUAAUCACAUAGCGUCCAUUUAUCCUGUAUUUAGCUAUGCACAUUAGAUUACCAUCCAAAGAUAGAAUUUAUAGACAUCAAAUAUACUCCUCAACACCAAAGCUGCCAGAAGUUUUGAACUAAAAAAAAUAAGCGUUGGACAUAGAUAAGAACUGGAGAAAGGUUCAAACACAUGUCUUGCAAAUUAUUAGUUUCAUGUUAAAAUCCUUCGGAUGGAAUAAUAGUUGUAAAAAGGAUGGUUUCUGCAUUCUCGAUUUGCUUGCAUUCGGUUCAGCUUCUCUACAUUUUCGAUUUCAUGCUCCGACAUGAGUUUGUGCUCCAGAAAGUACUCGUGGCUCAUGAAACCAUGCAUGCGCCCGCUUUCUUUUGUUUGCUUCCAUCCAGAGCAUGGUGACGGUCAGCAAUAGACCAUGCAGCUGCCAAAUCGAUGCGUCCUCUUUACGGCUCAACCCAUCGUGGUGGGAAAUUGCCUGCCAUUUUUGACCGCACUCUGAAUCGUCCCUUCCGUCUGCCACCAGUGCUAUAUCUGAACAACUAACUCCGCAAAGCAGCUGAAUGGUAUAACUUGCGAGGCCCAGGAGCCAGGAUUAGCAACAGUCCAGUGUGGAAGCAGCCACACCUUAUCCUUGUCCACUCGGAGAAGCUAGUCCUGCCAGACAAACGACAGAACCGAGGAUGCGUCCAUCAUGAGUGCGCACGAGCACAGUCCCAACGCCCAAGGCCGUUCGUGCGCGCGCGGGAGCAUAGAGUCUUCCAUUCCCGUCGCUCGCGCGCCCAACCGAGGCGAGCCUUUGACGACGGGGAGAGGAGCUCCAGGAACACCGAGCCGCGGUCCGAGGCCCCGGCACGGGAGCAAGUUUCGCCGGUUUUCCCUGGCCGAAGCCGUUGCCUGCCCACGCCGGUCAAACGAACACGACAAGAGAUCACCGCAAACAAGGCCGCAGCAGCACUGGUAGUUUUGGCGCUAUCGAGCACUGCAAGCACCGGGAUCAGCGAGGCCACCUUUGCAGCGCGGGUGGUGUGUCGCCUAGUGGCUUGUUUUGCUGCUGCGAGGCACUGAAAGCAAGGAGGAGCCCGGCUGGCCAUUAGCUGGGUUUUCUAUGCCUUUGGCUGUGCGCACGCGUGGAGAGCAGCAGCUCAAACCGAGCGCGGCAUGGCCAUGUUAUGUGUUGCGCCAGUAGGUUGCGCGGUGAGGUCCACUACGGGUGAUGGUGCCGGCCUCUGCCCUUGUUACUGCCAUGCACCCGCACGUGAGGCGUCGGGACAAAGUUCCCCUUGGGAGGAGGGCGAUUGGGCAUAGCGUGCUACUGCUCGUCAUUGAUGUUUCACAAGAGACAAGCUCGCGCUACUGUAGCAUGGGGGUAGCUGUUAACGCGAGCAUCAUUUAAACUUGGAAGUGUAUGCCAGUAACUUGAACAUGAAUGGCUCUACUGCUGUGGAACUACUCAGCAUUUGUAACUUGCGUUGGUUGAACUGAUCGGCUGGCAGUGGUUGGCUAUGACCCUAUGUAAGGUAGAA